AGUAAUACAUCGGAACGUGUCUUCUAGUGGGGGAUAACUGCCCGAAAGGGCAGCUAAUACCGCAUGAGACCUGAGGGUGAAAGCGGGGGAUCGCAAGACCUCGCGCUGGAAGAGCGGCCGAUGUCCGAUUAGCUAGUUGGUGAGGUAAAGGCUCACCAAGGCGACGAUCGGUAGCUGGUCUGAGAGGACGACCAGCCACACUGGGACUGAGACACAGCCCAG
rnacentral:rRNA from 1 species